AGGAAAUGAACUUUUUAAUAAUCCGAGGAGGGAGGAAAGCCCUCGGUCCCCUCGGCUCCGGGGGCGCCCGGCUGGGCCCAGCUCCGCGGGCGCGCCCCCGUCACCCCCUCCCAGGCCAGUUCAGGGCAGCGCCAAGGGGCCGCGGGCUCAGGCUGAGGCCUCCUCCUGCCUAGGCGUCUGGCGUCCGUUUGUCUGUCCGAGGCCUCAGCGCAGGUAAAGCGCGGGGCUGGGGGGCGCAGAGCUCCAUUGGGCUGGGAACCAGCGCGUCUCGUGCCCUUGGGGGACCCGCCUGCCCGAGCCGCCUGCUAAGCCUCCCGCUCCCCUCCACGCUGGAGCGCGCGGAGCCCGGUCUGCUCGGAACUCCACUCUGCGGGAGCGGAGGCCGGCGCCAGCCCGGGAAGCCGCGCAGGGGGCGGGAGGCCGAGCGCGAGGCCCUUGGCGCCGGGCCUCCGCGGCCAGGCCGGGCAGCUUACGAUUCUUCAUCAACUCGUAAAAUGAGAUCGCCGCGGAGCUCGAGCCUAUUUGGCGUCUCCGGAGACUAGCAAGACCCUCUGAAAGACACCGCGUCCCCAGGGAUAAUCCCCCGUGUCCGGCAAAGCUGCCCCGCUCGAGCGCGAACCCUGGGACCCAGCGCGGGAGGCAGACCAGCAGCUGGCCGCUGGGCUGUGAACGCCAGGACCGAGCGGAAGCUUCCCGCCCGGCCGCGAUCGGUGCCGCGGCUCUCAGGGAAGUGGCUACGCGCGUCCCUCGGGAAAGCAGAGUAAUUUGCCUGUUUCUGGCAAAUCUGAAGAUUGGAAUGCCACACGGCCCAGCCAUUCCUUUUCCAGGCAUAUGAGAAGCCCUCACACAUGAGCAAGAAAGAGAUGUGGCCAAAGACAUUCAUGGAGCCCUGUUUGUUAAAACAGAGAAAAAGAAAUUAAGAAAUACCCAGCCUGGGCAACAUAGGGAGACCCUGUCUCUACUAAAAAUAAAAAUUUAUACUUGGGAGGCUAAGGCAGGAGGAUCACUUGAGCUCAGAAGAUCGAAGCUUGCAAUCAGCUGUGAUCGUGUCACUGCAUGCCAGCCUGGGUGACAGAGAGUGAGACCCUGUAUCAAUAAAGAAAGAAAGAAAGAAAAGAAACAGAAAUAAACUUAGGACACAGCAGACGGCCCAUCCUGAGGGUACCACAUAGCAGAUGCUGGGACCUUUUUUCAGGUGGACGCCACAUGACCUUUCCUUUGCAGGCAUCCAUGCUGAUGUUCACAAGGCACACAGCAUUUCAGCUGAAGAAAGAACUGGCAGGAUUUUCAUCACGAAAGGGCACUGUCUAUCGUUUAUGAAAAUGAAGCAUAUGAAGUAAAAGUUUGGAAACAGAUGGAAUUAAAUCUUCUGACAGAUUUUAAAAUAAGAUCUAAAAAAGAGCAAGACAUGCUCUUGGAUGGGGAAACUUAAUAUCAGAAAAAUGUCAAUUUUCCCAUUUUUUCCAUAUAAAUUUAAUGUAAUUCAAAUUCCAUUACCAACAGGGUGAUUUUUUAAAAAACUAGAUAAAAUGAUCUGAAAGAUUAUGCAGCAGAAUAAAUGCCCAAGAAUUACCAGGGAAGACUGGAAAAAAGACUGCUGUGGGGGUUUUGCCUUCCUGGAAAUAAGACCAUACUGCAAAGUCACUGUAAUCAGAUCAAUAUGGCAUUGGCAGAGGACUAGACAAUGGAAAGGAAUGGAGAAUACAAAAAUAAGUUUCAGGAUAUAUGAGAAUGAGAUAUAUGCCAAAGGUAGUAUUUUGAUUCGGUGGGAGAAGGGCAGACUGUGAAGUAAGUGGUACCAGCCACAACUGAAUAUCCAUCUGGGAUAAAAUAAAAUUGCACUCGUCUUAGAGAUCCAAAUCAACUUCAGAUGGAUUAAAACUUUGAAUGUAAAAAACAUAAAUGACUAACAGUCCUGCAAAAUAUCUUGGAGACAACCUGUGCCAUCUGGAGAGUGGGAAGAGCACAUGCAAAGGCCAAGGGGUGGAGCAGCCCAGCAUGUUCUGGAAAAGGUAGGGCUCCCCAAGGCUGGGAUGAUGGUGGAGACCUGGGUGUGUGGGAGCACAGGGGUGGGGGCCCGUGGGCCAGGAAUGCACAGAGAGGGGCUGGUGCUCUGCCGCAGGCCCAAGCCCCCAAAGCCCGGUCAUUCCCAGCACCAUCUUCACGGGUUUCUGCCCAGGUCUUUCUGCUGCAUCUCUUCCUCCCCCGAUUCCUUAAUCAUUUUUUUUAAAAUCAGUUCAUGUCUUUGUAAACCAAAUUAUUUCUAAAAGGCAAAUUUAUAUUACUGCCGAAAUCAAGGGUCAGUGAGCUAGUUGUGUAUGUUCUGAAUCACAUGGAAAUAAAUGCAUCGAACAUUAA
rnacentral:lncRNA from 10 species